GACGAACGCUGGCGGCGUGCUUAACACAUGCAAGUCGAACGCGGAAGCCCAGCUUUUGUUGGGAGUAUGAGUGGCAAAGGGGUGAGAAGCCCGGGAGUAACCUUCCUCCUUCUUGGGGAUAACGCCCGAAAACGGGUGCUAAUACUGGAGUUCCACUGGUCUUCGUUUGGGGGUUGGGGGAAAGGGUUUUUCUGGUGGGGGAUGGGCUCGAGGCCUAUCAGCUGGUGGGUGGGGUGAUGGCCUACCAAGGCUUUGACGGGUAGCCGGCUUGAGCGGGUGACCGGGCACAUUGGGACUGAGAUGCGGCCUAGACUCCUACGGGAGGCAGCAGUGGGGAAUAUUGCACAAUGGGCGCAAGCCUGAUGCAGCGACGCCGCGUGAGGGAUGGAGGCCUUCGGGUUGUGAACCUCUUUCGCUCAUGGUCAAGCCGAAACAAUGGUUGUGGUGAGGGUAGUGGGUAAAGAAGCGCCGGCUAACUACGUG
rnacentral:rRNA from 1 species